GGGAGCGCUAGGCUUCGACAAAGAUUUUUCCGAUAAAACCGCAGGCUGAGCCGAUUGUCUCAUUAAUCCAAUCAAAACAAAAUAACUGCCAACAAAAAUUUGGCUUUUGCUCCGGCGUUUGCAUAAAUCGCCGAAGCCAUCGGCCCCUGACGCCUAAUAAGGGACAACCGGUGUAAUAAUUGGGCAAACUCUGGAAAAACGCUCCGAUAUCCGGAGACAAAUAAGGAGCAAAAAUCUCCGCCAAAGGCGGAUAAGCCUGUAGAAAUUUUUUCCGAUAAUCUUUGGACAGCGGUUCAAUUCCGCUCGCUUCCACUA
rnacentral:tmRNA from 1 species